UAUAUAUAUAUAUAUUCCUAGGCUGUUGAAUAUAUAUAUUUCUGGUUUGUGGGCCAAAAGUUCAUUUCUUACUCUUUCUCAAUUCUGAAAUGAUAAAUAGAAGUGGUUUAGAUUUUUCAUUUAUUUAUAUUGACAGUAGUAAUGCCCUUUCUUUUUUUUUUUUUUUCUUAUGACAACUGAAAGCAAAAGGAUGCCCUAAGUUUCAUAUACAAAUUCAGUAGUUCAAACUCUUUGUCAAUAGGAUAUGCAUUUGGAGUAGGAGUAAGUUUGCAUCAGACCCUUUACACAGUUAACUCCAUUCCAUUCUUCAACAGGAACAUUUUGUUCAAAGAAGCUAAUGAAGUUGUAUUUUGAUCUGAGACCAUGAAAUGCAGUGGCACUUGCCACCUAGGAAAGAGAAACAUUUUACACAUGGUAUUGGCCUUCUUAGCACCAGGUCCAAAACGAGGUCACCGUCUCAUAGAAAUCUUGAGGCCAGAAGCUCAGCCUCAAGACUCUCAGUCUUUUUCUACUUUGUCACAGAAAGUAGAGGUUUUUGCCGAGACGAAUGACACACCCCGUGGACACGGCUAGAGUUUUAUGCAGUAUAAGGAAAGCUGUAGAGUACUUAUGCUUCCUAGUUGGGCAUUCCAGGUUUAAUCCUGGUCCUCCCUCUUACCAGCUAUGUAAGAAAAAGCUGAUUUCUUAAUCAAUUCUGAGCCUUGAUUCGUCUCAUCUAUAAAAUGAGGGUAAUAAUGAGACCAACCUUAAUCUUUUGUUAAGAGGAUUAGAUGAAAUCAUGUAAGUAAAACCUGUAGCCAUAGCGUGGUGCUCAGAGUAAAAUAAGUGCUAAAUAAAUCUUAGCUAUUCAUAUGUAUAAUUCCUCUUUCAGCUACACCUAAAUACAAAGUUUUCUCAAUUAUUAAAGUAUGCAUCUAUUCAAAUUAUUGAGAAUGAUACAAUAGAGAUGGCCUAUUUCACUUAUCUAAAAAACAAAAUAUUUGCCAACUGUGCUAUUUGUUAUUACUGGUAACUAAUUUUCAGAGCUGCCAGUCAUUAUGGCAUACAUUCAUAGGAAAAUACUAAUAAUCUUUUUCCUCCUCUCCUAGCUAACAAAGUAAUAUGGUCUAAAUGUUUAUGUCCGACCAUUUCAAUUUAUACAUUAAAAUCCUCACCCCUAAAGUGAUGCGAUUUAGAAGGCCCCUUGCCUCUUCUGCCAUCUGAGGGUAGGGUGGGAAGACAGCUGUCUCUGAGAAAGCAGGGCCUCCGCAGACACUGAAUCUGCCAGUGCCUUGAUCUUGGACUUCUCAGCCUCCAGAACUGUGAGAAAAACAUUUCUGUGGUUUAUAAGUCACCCGGUGUUUUGUUAUAUAGCAGACUGAGCUAAGACACAAAGCAUUUCCCAAUCCUAUGUCUGUGAUUCCCCACUGGAGGAAAAAUGAUUACAUAAGCCAACAAACAGAAACCCUCACCAUAUAAAAACAUAUAACCCUGCCUAGUCAAGUAGGUAGAAUUUGUGGAUCAAGGAGAAAAACUAUGUGUGACCACUGUUGCCUUACAGCUUUAAAUCUGCCAUUAACUAACAAAAAUGUUAUAAUGUGCUAAAACCCAAGGUCAGGAGAAAGGCAAAGCAGAAUAGUUAUAUUUUCUAUUAAUACAGAAUUCAAUAGGUUAGGAGAAGAGAAAGAGGAAGACUGAAAAUUUGAAACUGGAUGUAGUCACACAAGAAUAUUGCAGUGUCUGGGAGCUGAUAAGGGCUUUAAGGAAAUUUAGAAAUCUUUAAAGGAAUGGUUGAUAUGAUCAAGGCUUGUCCAUAAGAAAAGAAGACUAGAAUAAUUGAGAAUACCAGUGGAUUCCAAUCUUAGUGAAGAGAACUGCAGAAUCCCUAGAGGCUUACUUGAAUAAUAUUUGGAAAUGACUGUGACUUGAAUUUUAAGAAGAAAUGUAUUCAAUAUUUUAAAGACUCUAUAGGUAUGACUCUGUUAGCACAUUGCAUACUUUCAGGAGUAAAUUAACAUUAAUAUUUUAGUAUUUUAGAAAGCCUGGAUUUACUUUCUAAAUUCAGAGUAUUUCUAGAAUAUUAGAGUAUUUUAGGAUCAUUAAAUUUUUAAUUAUAGUGGUCAACUCUUUUCAUUUAGUUUAUCCCUUUUCCUCACUUAUUAAGUAAAUAUUAAUAUAUAUUGAGAACCUAGUUCAACAACAAACAAGGGAAAAGGGGAAAUUAUUUUAUUUCCCCGAACAAUGAUAAUGUUUUUCUUCAAGGUGUUCUCGUAUGGGCCUGUACUUUCUAGUAAAUUAUAGAAGAUAACUUUGGGAUUUAAAGAUUUACUGUCACCUAAUACAGUCUUCAGGUAGCUCUGCACUUGAAUGCCUGUUAUUUUUCUUCUCUGGGAAAAGUUGAAAGAAAAGACUAUAAGGGUCUCAUUCUGGAGCAAGUGAAAGCUACCUGAAAUAAGUUUGAUAAUUAAAAUUUACAUAAUUGGUGCUCAGAUUUUUCAUACCCAGCAGCUCACCAGAUGUAAAGACACAGGAAUAGGCCAAAGAGGAGUUGGGUAAUGGAAAUGAGGCAGAGCCUCCAAAUUCCACCAUUCUGUCUCCAGGCAGGCCCUGGGGGAAGCAUUUGGGUUGCCUCAAUAAAGCCCUCUUUAGAUUUAUGUGAUCGUGGAUGCUUCUUCUUUAUGGUUGGUGAAUUUACAGCGGAACAAAUCGAGAUUGUAACAGACAGAAGAUCUGUCUCUGGUGAAAUAAAUUAGAACCAUUAGAUUUUCCUCUAUGGUCUUGUAGUAUAAUGUAAUAAAUGGUUGAGAGUAUGGGCUUUGAGGUCAGACAGCUUUAGGUUUGGGAAAGGCUAUCACUUUCCUGCUAGGUGACCUUGACUUCAACCACCCUGAGCCUGAUACUGUUUUUGCAUUUUGUGUUGCUUUGUUUUGUAAAAUAGAAAUGGUAAUAAUAGUGUCUAAUACAUAGUGCUGCUAUAAGGUUAAAUAUUAACAUAUGUGUAAAAUGCAUCAUAUAGUGACUAACGCAAUGGUCAAUCCUCCAUAAAUAUAAGCUAUUGUGUUAACUUUGUAUUGUCUCCUUAAUAUAUUUUUAACAAAUUCUGAUUUUGCAUAAUGGAGAUAAACUGCCAAAAUUGGAUGAAACUAUUUAUACACUUUAAGUCUUUAUCUGUUGGAAUCAUGUUCAGCUUAACCACAGAGACUUAACCAAUUAUGGAUCUGUUUUUCUCCCAUAAUAAAGAAUUCAGAAAUAGGCAAUAUAAGGCUGGUAUAGCUGUUUGAAGGAGACAGCGAGGACCCACCAUUUAAUUUUCUGCUCCCCCACACUCAUCGAUGGCUUUCAUCUUCGCAAUUGAAAGAGAGCUGUGGUACCUCUAGACAGCCAAGAAGCAAGAGUGCAGAGUGAAGGGCAAAAGUCUUUUUCUAAGACAGUCUUUUCUGGGGAGUGGAGGGAUGUCAGAGAAUCUCUUUGCAGGAACUUCUACCUAUAUCUCAUUGUCCAGAGCUAUGUUUCAUGAACAGCCUCUAAUAGCAGUGGAAGCUGGUAAGGAAGGUAUGUUUUUAACUGGGCACAUUGCCACCUUGAAACAAAACAAAAAGCCACAUAGUUCUGUUGGACAUUAAGUAAACAAACAUCAGUUUCUACCACAAAGCCAAGCAAACUUACAAAAAAGACACAAUUUUCAGGCCUGAUUAUUUUUCUAACAAAGAUUUAUAAAUGUCCUCAAUAUUGGGACAUUCUGAGGGCAUUUGCUAAGACCUUAAAUCCUACCAUCAUCAUUAAGAAGAGAAGUGGUCACUGGUCUGUGUAAUGGGGAAAAUAAUAACCAGAUCCUUUAGGCAUGAUUCUUGAAUCAAUAUUGUCAGUUUGCUUCCAUGUUGUAAUAUCAAAUUAGGUUGCCAUUCAGUACAACAGUCCUGAUUUUGGUGAUGUGAUUAUAUCAUUUAUUCAAUAAGGUUUUACGGAGGAUCCCACUAAUCUUGGAAAUAUAAGUGUAGGGAAAACAUAGAAGCAACAUUACAAAUUUUCAUGCAUGGAAAUGAACCUUUAUUUUCAUAAAAGGUUAAGUUAUAUAGUUUUCUUUUUUAAUAAAUAUUGUUAUAAUGGCAGGCAUCAGUUGGCCUAGAUUCUGUCAGUGAGUGUCUACAUUUGGAGGCUUAGAGAAGGUCCCUAUGGUACUCAAGUUCUAUGUGAUCAGUCUCACUGGAAAUUAGGGGUACCUAGUUCUAGCCAUUUCUGUUACCUGAAUAAUCGAGGUCCAGUUUUCUACUAUUGAAUUAAAAUGACCUGCAUAAAGAACCAGAUAUAGGAAACAGUUUUUUAUGAGAGGAUAAGUCAGUCAGUCAGUAUUUUUUAAGCUAACUGUUAUCCAGCACUAAGCAAA